GCCCUGGUUGAUUAAUGGAAAUCACCCACACCCCUUGAGCGAAUAAGCUGAGCCGAUUGAUGUGGGAGACGGAGGUUCGAAUCCUCCCCGGGGCA